AUGCGGCAAUACUGGUGGGGUGUAGAGAAAGGACAGCGAAAGAUGGCUUGGUUAAGUUGGGACAAAAUGAGGCUACCAAAGUCCAAGGGUAGUAUGGGUUUCCGUGACAUGCGAUCCUUUAACCAAGCGCUGCUUGCAAAGUAGGCCUGGCGACUCCUUGAUAAUUAGGAAAGUUUGUGUGCACGAUUAUUAUGAGUGAAGUACUAUACCAAUGGGAAUUUAUUGGACACGGUAUUUACAGGAAACUCUUCAGCGGUGUGGAAAGGAAUUGAACAUGGUUUGGAACUAGUUAAAAAAGGCAUCAUUUGGCGGGUUGGAGAUGGUUCAUCGAUACGUACUUGGAGGGAUGCUUGGAUUCCUCGAGGCCAUAACUUUUGGCCGGUCACACCAAAAGGGAACUGUCAAUUCAACCGUGUGUCUGAUUUUCUUGAUGAUAAUGGUGCUUGGAUGGUGCAACGUUUGAAUGACCAUUUUUGGCCGUUGGAUGUCCGUGAAAUUCUGAAAAUAUGUACUUCACCGAGACAACGUCAAGAUUUCUUUGCCUAUCAUCCAGAAAAAAGAACGGGCGUUUUUUCGUGA
rnacentral:rRNA from 1 species